UACGGAGGGUGCAGGCGUUAUCCGGAUUCACUGGGUUUAAAGGGUGCGUAGGUGGGCAGGUAAGUCAGUGGUGAAAUCUCCGAGCUUAACUCGGAAACUGCCGUUGAUACUAUUUGUCUUGAAUAUUGUGGAGGUAAGCGGAAUAUGUCAUGUAGCGGUGAAAUGCUUAGAUAUGACAUAGAACACCAAUUGCGAAGGCAGCUUACUACACAACGAUUGACGCUGAGGCACGAAAGCGUGGGGAUCAAACAGG
rnacentral:rRNA from 1 species